UCCUACGGGGGGCAGCAGUGGGGAAUAUUGCACAAUGGGGGAAACCCUGAUGCAGCAACGCCGCGUGAGUGAUGACGGCCUUCGGGUUGUAAAGCUCUGUCUUCAGGGAUGAUAAUGACGGUACCUGAGGAGGAAGCCACGGCUAACUACGUGCCAGCAGCCGCGGUAAUACGUAGGUGGCGAGCGUUGUCCGGAUUUACUGGGCGUAAAGGGAGCGUAGGCGGACUUUUAAGUGAGAUGUGAAAUACUCGGGCUCAACUUGAGUGCUGCAUUUGAAACUGUUGGUCUUGAGUAUCGGGGAGGCA
rnacentral:rRNA from 1 species